UGAAUACGAGACGCUACGGCGUCGAAGCAGUCUAUGUCAUACUUCCAAGAAAAGCUUGCACUGUCAUAAACAAAUAAUGCCUGUACCAUAACCGACACAGGUGGGUAGGUAGAGUAUACUAAGGGGCGCGAGAUAACUCUCUCUAAGGAACUCGGCAAAAUGACUCCGUAACUUCGGGAGAAGGAGUGCCUUAUUAUAAGGUUGCAAUAACAAGAUCCAAGCAACUGUUUAUCAAAAACACAGGUCUCCGCUAAGUCGUAAGACGAUGUAUGGGGGCUGACGCCUGCCCAGUGCCAGAAGGUUAAAGAAGUUGGUUAGCAUUAGCGAAGCUGAUAACUGAAGCCCUGGUGAACGGCGGCCGUAACUAUAACGGUCCUAAGGUAGCGAAAUUCCUUGUCGGGUAAGUUCCGACCCGCACGAAAGGCGUAAUGAUUUGGAUACUGUCUCGGAGAGGGGCUCGGUGAAAUAGACUUGUCUGUGAAGAUGCGGACUACCUGCACCUGGACAGAAAGACCCUAUGAAGCUUUACUGUAACCUGAAAUUGAAAUUGGACUUUAUUUGCGCAGUAUAGGUGGGAGGCGUUGAGAAUAUUCUUGCGGGAAUAUUGGAGCCAUCAGUGAGAUACCACUCUUGUAAUGUUAGAUUUCUAACUUUGAAUCAUUAUCUGGUCAAAGAACAGUUUCAGGCGGGCAGUUUGACUGGGGCGGUCGCCUCCUAAAUGGUAACGGAGGCGCACAAAGGUUUCCUCUGAACGGGUAGAAAUCGUAUCUAGAGUGUAAAGGCAUAAGGAAGCUUGACUGUGAGACCUACAAGUCGAGCAGGGACGAAAGUCGGUCUUAGUGAUCUGACGGUGCUGAGUGGAAAGGCCGUCACUCAACGGAUAAAAGUUACUCUAGGAUAACAGGCUGAUCUCCCCCAAGAGUUCACAUCGACGGGGAGGUUUGGCACCUCGAUGUCGGCUCAUCGCAUCCUGGGGCGGUAGUACGUCCCAAGGGUUGGGCUGUUCGCCCAUGAAAGCGGUACGAGAGCUGGGUUCAAAACGUCGUGAGACAGUUCGGUCCAUAUCCGGUGUAGGCGUUAGAAUAUUGAGAGGAGCCUUCUUUAGUACGAGAGGACCGAGAAGGACAUACCUCUGGUGUACCAGUUAUCGUGCCAACGGUAAACGCUGGGUAGCUAUGUAUGGAGAGGAUAACCGCUGAAAGCAUCUAAGUGGGAAGCCCACCUCAAGAUAAGUAUUCCC
rnacentral:rRNA from 1 species